rnacentral:rRNA from 1 species
CNUCUUUAUACAUGAGCAAAAUCUCAACUAUUUUAGAAGAGAAGCAUUUAUUAGAUAAAAAACUAAUUUUAACUGUUUUCGGAUUCAUCAAUAUUGGUUCUUUUUAAUGAUCUAAUUUAAUCGCAUGAANGUGAAUUCUGGCGUUAGUGUUAUUCAAUUUCUCUGACCUGAUCAGCUUUCUAAAUCGGUAUGGUGCAUUGGCUUACUGUGUUUGCAGUGACGGUUAAUGGGGUCGAUUAGGGUUCGAUUCCGGAGAGGGAGCCUGAGAAACGGCUACCACAUCUAAGGAAGGCAGCAGGCGCGCAAAUUACCCAAUUCUAAUAGCAUAAGAGAGGUAGUGACAAGAAAUAACAGUACAAGGCAGUUAAAAUGCUUUGUAAUUGGAAUGAUAGAAAUUUAAACACUUUUUAAAGUAUCAAUUGGAGGGCAAGUCUGGUGCCAGCAGCCGCGGUAAUUCCAGCUCCAAUAGCGUAUCUUAAAAUUGUUGCAGUUGAAAAGCUUGUAGUUGAAUUUCAUGUUAAAAAUGGCAACCGGUCUGCUUUUAUUAUUAAAAGUAGUAUCAUAAGUGUGUUUUUAGCAAUAAUGUCCUUUGUAAUGUUUUUUACUUUAUUGUAAGAAACAAUAUUCAGUAUUUUUACUUUGAGAAAAGUUAGAGUGUUUCAAGCAGGCUAACGUUUUGAAUACUGCAGCAUGGAAUAAUAAGA